rnacentral:rRNA from 1 species
AUUGAACGCUGGCGGCAGGCCUAACACAUGCAAGUCGAGCGGAGCGGCGGACGCGUGCGUAAUGCCUAGGAAUCUGCCUGGGAGUGGUAGAUAACGUACGCAAAUGGGCGCGAUUACCGCAUACUAUCACAUGAGCCUAGGUCGGAUUAGCUAGUUGGUGGGGUAAAGGCAUACCAAGGCGACGAUCCGUAACUGGUCUGAGAGGAUGAUCAGUCACAAUGGAACUGAGACACGGUCCAGACUCCUACGGGAGGCAGCAGUGGGGAAUAUUGGACAAUGGGCGCAAGCCUGAUGCAGCCAUGCCGCGUGUAUGAAGAAGGUCUUAGGAUUGUAAAGAACUUUAAGUUGGGAGGCGUUACCCACAGAAGAAGCACCGGCUAACUCCGUGCCAGCAGCCGCGGUAAUAC